AGGGAAUCUUCCACAAUGGACGCAAGUCUGAUGGAGCAACGCCGCGUGAGUGAAGAAGGUUUUCGGACCGUAAAGCUCUGUUGUUGGUGAAGAAGGAUAGAGGUAGUAACUGGCCUUUAUUUGACGGUAAUCAACCAGAAAGUCACGGCUAACUACGUGCCAGCAGCCGCGGUAAUACGUAGGUGGCAAGCGUUGUCCGGAUUUAUUGGGCGUAAAGCGAGCGCAGGCGGAAGAAUAAGUCUGAUGUGAAAGCCCUCGGCUUAACCGAGGAAUUGCAUCGGAAACUGUUUUCUUGAGUGCAGAAGAGGAGAGUAGAACUCCAUGUGUAGCGGUGGAAUGCGUAGAUAUAUGGAAGAAUACCAGUGGCGAAGGCGGCUCUCUGGUCUGCAACUGACGCUGAGGCUCGAAAGCAUGGGUAGCGAACAGGAUUAGAUACCCUGGUAGUCCAUGCCGUAAACGAUGAGUGCUAAGUGUUGGGGGGCCUUCCGCCUCUCAGUGCUGCAGCUAACGCAUUAAGCACUCCGCCUGGGGGAGUACGACCGCAAGGUUGAAAC
rnacentral:rRNA from 1 species